ACACAUCGAGGUGUACACGAGUCCCUGCACACGGAGGCCGGAAGUAUCUCUACUGUAGUCAACUAUUCCCUGACCCCCAAAACGUAGUGAACUGUCUUAAUCGUCCUCAUCAGCAGCCGAAGUACCUCGUGUGUAAAAAUUUGGAUCGAACAGUAUCCACAACAACAAAAUGAUUUGGUACUUGGACUGACCAUCCCGUUGAUGUUGCUAGCCGUUCCAAGUGCUCACAGUGACGGCAGAGUGUGCAUGAAAACAGGUGCUUGCACGUGCGAGACGUUAGAUGGGAAAAUAGACCUCGGUGCACUGGAUAGUCAAAUCGAUAAACCUCGGUUCUUCAACAUGUCGGCGACUGACGAUCCCUUCUACUACUCCUGGAAUCCAUGUUCGG